AUAUAUGUAUUAAAAUUCAAAGCAUAGAAUCUAAAAAAAUUUCCCUCAUUCUGAAAUCAUCUAUAAUUCAAAAUUAUCCCACGUAGACUUUAACUUUUCUCCCGCAUGCGAUUUGUGUUUUGAAGAGAACCAAAUAUUUGAUUUAGGUUUUUCAUAUUCAACACUACUUUUCUCACAGGCGAUUUGGGUUUUGUACACAGGAGGAAUAGGAUAACCAAGAUUUAAUUUAGGGUUUUCAUCUUUUACUAUUGCACUCUCGCACACGAUUCCAUGAAGAAAGAAGCAAAGGUAGAUGUCGAAUUGACUACUGAGGAGAGGAAUUUGCUCGGUACAAGAAUAUGAUUGGAGCUCGGAGGCGUAUUUUUUCUUCGAUAGAGCAAAAGGAGGAUGCGGGAGGUAAUGAAUUGAUAAAAGGUUGAAUCGGAGUUAUCCAGCCUACUGGUGAAUCGACGGUGUUCUUCUACAAGAUGAAGGGGAUUAUUAUUAUUGGUAUUGGCUAAAUUUAAGUCUGGUGAGGUGAGGAGAGGAAAGAGGCAGCUGAUCAUUCACUCAAAGCAUACCAGGUGCUCAUCAGUUUCAGGGUUAGAGUUUGGACGUGCAGAGCAGAUACAGCUAUUCAUUCCUCCGAUUAUGAAAAGAAGAAACCAUAGAUGCAGCUUGUACAACCUCAUCAAGAUCACUCCUUUGUGUCACAAGAAAACUCAGUGAAGUUAAAUAAUCAUUUGAAGAUGUCUAUUGACAAAUUGUGGUGGUUUUAUAAAUUAAUGAUACGGUGGUCCAUUUAGAGGGGUAGUUUAAGUAUAAAGAGAUGUUUAAUUGUAAUUUGAUACGAAUAAAUAAUUAUUGUAUAAAUAUAUUGUAACUACCUUCUCAAUUUUAGACCACCGCAUUUCCUACUGUAGUUUGAUUUUGAAAUAUUUUUGAAAAAAAUAUUUCAACCAUGUUCGUUAUGUCAACUCAACCAAUAUAUAGAUAAAAUCAACAAAAAUGUGAUGUUACAAACUAUGGUGAAAAUAAGAUCACUAUGAUGGAGAAGUUGCGUACCAAAAUGUUGAUGUGAGUUAUAUAAAUUUGGUUGAAAACUCAGAAAUGCAGCAUGUGUGGACAAUCUCAUCAAGUUGUGGCGAUUUUAUAAAUUAAUAAUAAGAUGGUCCAUUUAGAGUGGCUUAAUAAUAAUCACCUACUCAUUCGCAUGGUCACUCAACAACCAAAGCCCAAUUUACCAGCUAUGGCCGAUGCUCAGCUCAAGUCUGACGACCUCAUGGACCAAAUGAAACUCCAGAGCAAAGGUAUAUAUGAAGGUGGAAAAACCUGAUGCCACCUUUUCUUUCAAGGAUGAAGAUUUGUUAACGUCUCCAUUGGCAAGUUGAACCCCCGGAUUGCUUUCAUGAGGGGUGCGAUGAAGAUUAAGGGCAGUCUCAGCGUGCCUUAAAAUUUUACUCCUGACAUUUUCCCCAAGCCUUCAAAAAUGUGAGAGUACACAAAACCAAUGAUUUAUGUGGGAGGGUGAUUUACUAUACAGUUAUUCCAAUUUUCUAUGAAGCUACGAUUUUGUAGAUUGAUACUAUUUCACACCCAUAGUAGGAAAUUGAUAAUAAUCUGAAACCAUCCUUCAACAUAUAUGGUAUUUAGUUGAAAGUUUUUACUCCUAC